AAGGUACUCCCUCCGUCCCAAAAUUCUUGUCUUAAACUUGUCUAGAUACGGAUGUAUCUAAUACUAAAAUGUGACUUGAUACAUCCGUAUCUAGACAAAUUUAAGACAAGAAUUUUGGGACGGAGGGAGUAUUGU
rnacentral:pre_miRNA from 1 species